AUGAACACGAAGCGGUAAGGUUGUCGAACUUGCAACCUGUAACAUUGACUUCCAAAGUGAAGCUUUUAAAUGACAUCAAGUCUUUCAAGAUGACGUCACAGAAUUGCCGUCCUGAAUGUCAAGAUGAGCCAACGCAAAGCCCCGCAAAGAAUCAACCGUCCCGCGUACGGAACUGCUGGCAUGCCAGCACGCAGCGGAUAUCCUUGCAGUCCCGAAAGAAGACGCUGCCCUUGACCGGGCCCAGCACGAUGCGA